GAGUUUGAUCGUGGCUCAGGACGAACGCUGGCGGCGUGCCUAACACAUGCAAGUCGAGCGGAAAGGCUCCUUCGGGAGUACUCGAGCGGCGAACGGGUGAGUAACACGUGGGUAAUCUGCCCAGGACACAGGAAUAACCAGUGGAAACGCUGGCUAAUGCCUGAUGAAGUGCCGGCCCUGCGGGCUUGGUACCAAAGGUAGCUUCGGCCUCCGGUCUUGGAUGAGCCCGCGGCCCAUUAGCUUGUUGGCGGGGUAACGGCCCACCAAGGCGACGAUGGGUAGCUGGUCUGAGAGGACGAUCAGCCACACUGGGACUGAGACACGGCCCAGACUCCUACGGGAGGCAGCAGUGGGGAAUCUUGCGCAAUGGGCGAAAGCCUGACGCAGCAACGCCGCGUGCGGGAAGAAGGCCUCGGUGUAACGACUUCUAGCGGGAGAAGGACGAG
rnacentral:rRNA from 1 species